rnacentral:rRNA from 1 species
AACGUAGGAGACAAACGUUAUCCGGAGUUACUGGGCGUAAAGGGCGUGUAGGUGGUUGCGUAAGUCUGGCGUGAAAUUUUUCGGCUUAACCGGGAAAGGUCGUCGGAUACUGCGUAGCUAGAGGACGGUAGAGGCGUGUGGAAUUCCGGGUGUAGUGGUGAAAUGCGUAGAGAUCCGGAGGAACACCAGUGGCGAAGGCGGUUGCCUGGGGCUUUGCUGACGCUGAUGCGCGAAAGCGUGGGGAGCGAUCCGG